AUGAGCCCUGCGUUCACCCACAGGACCCCGGAGCCCACCGCCUGGGGUGUGACACCGUAAAAAUCUGCACUGAAAAGUGAACCUGCCAGCAGGAUUCCCAAGGAAACUUCUCAUCUCCGGGCUGGGCAAUUGCACUCGAAGAGAAAGCAAAAGAGGCUGCAAACAGCAUCUAAAGACAGGGCAGGGCAGUCAAACGCCACACCAGUGGCAAAGAAAUCCUGCAGGACCUCACGAAGCUGAAUGAAAGGCACAAGAUUGGCACAGGAGCUUCAGUCUGGAUAAAUGUAAAGUUUAUCCACGUGUAGAAGAAACUAAAUCAAACCAAAGCUCCUCAGUGCUGAUCCCGGAACCGGCUGUGAAAGAGAUCCUGAAGUCACUAUUGACAGUUGGCUGAGAUCAUCGGCCCCGUGUGCGUCUGCAGCCAAAAAAACAACCAAGAAACUGUUGGGCAACACCAGGAAGAGCAUUGAGAAGAAGACAAAAGGCAUCAUUUUGCUGCUAUGUGUCGCCUCAGCGUGCCACGUAUUGAGGCCGGCUUCCACGCCUGGUCUCUCAUGGAGAAUAGGAACAUACCAUUAAUUAAUCGGUGCAGAAGAUGGAAUUAAACCAUGACUUGUGGAGAGCCUGAAUAGAUGAAAUGUAUUUUAGCUGCCUCCAGCCCUAAAAAAGGGCAGUGAAACAAUACAGUGGUGUAUCUGUAUCAGGGGGGUGCUCAGGGUUUACAAACGUAUGAUGGCAUUUUACCAGUCACAUCCUAAUGCUUUAGGGUAACCCCAGUACUCGAUUUAAGAUGAUUUAAUAUGCCAAGAGGUUUAUUUAAAAUGCCUCUUUGUCUUUCUCUAGAGGCUCCUUACAUUGCCUCUACCUGCAGUAAAAUCAAACACCUAUUUAUUGACUUCACCCGCUGCCAACUGGCAUUUUAAAAAGUCUCUUCUAUCAGACAACGCUCUGCUCCCAGGCUUUGUCUGCAAAGCAACGCAAUUUCAACCCUUAAAAAGCAAUUUAACCCGUGCAAAUGUUGGAGCCAAGAAUGAGAGUGAAAGAGCAAGAUCACACUGUCUGAAAAGAGCAACGAAUUUAAUAAUUGCUGAAGUGAAAGCCUGGUCUGGCUGUUGUUUUGGUAUCCGAGUCUCGAGCUAGAGUCCCGGCGGUGAACAGACAGUGCAUCUUGACCACGUCUUAGCCAUGUAUGGUGAUAUUUGCCAGCUGCAGAGAAGUAUUUGAGAAAAGUUACGCACUCGGUGACCUUCUCAUUCAUUUUGCUGCCUUUCUGUUGCCAGCUGACUUGACUGAGCGGCACAAACAUUCCAGCUACUGCGCAGAGCCUUGCAGCGUGCUGAAUUCUGGACGUUUCACACAUUAAAGCUAUCAUUUCUGGCACACUCAGGAAGCUCCUCUUGUCUGCACAGGCUUCUCCUGGAGAGCAGAAGGCACUUUUUUUUUUUUUUGUGUGUGUGUGUGUAAGUGUGCCACACGUUCAAAAAUGCUGGAAAAAAACUGCAGUCUGAUGGUGAAAAGGAUGCAGAGCAGAGCGGAUUGAGAGCAGUGCAAUGUCAAAUCAGGGAGGAGGGAUGGUUCAGCUUUCAGCUAGGAAAAAAAAAAUACCACCAGAAACAAUCUCUCUGUGCUUAUUUGAGACAUUUGCAAUUGCUUGAGAACCCUGAUAAAUCCUUUCUUACUGGUCCAAACCACACACGAGGAAGGCGGACUGAAUUCUGCUUUGCUACAGUCACAUAAACCCACUCUGAUUUUCCUGACUUCAGAGAGAGCAGCGAUAAAUACUCUUGUUUGUUAAACCUGCACAUCUAAUUAAACACUUCACAAAGGUGGGCAUGGAGGCUGCUGACAGGGGACCUGUGCUGUGAGCGUUCCUUGCUUUCUGUCCAGUACUGGGGGAUCUCACCAAGCCUUCAGGAGGAAAAAGCACAGUGACAGAUGUCUGCUCGAGGCACGUAACCCCCUCGGCUGUGAAAGGGGUAUGGGUUUGGCCAAUACAACUGCUGCUUAUGCUUUGCUCUAUUAAGAGGGAUAAUGAAAUGCAAGACAUCAUUUUCUGUACUUUCAUUUAUCCCUUUCGCUACCACCUCACAGUGUUACACCGUUACAGUGUUAAAUCUGCUCUCCUAGCUUAUCCUCUCCCCCCAUCUGCCAUUUUAUUUCUUCCUUUUCGCCUUCCUGCUCCUUUCUCCACAUUUAUUUUGACGUUAUUUAGUUUUUAUUCGGCCCCUCUCUGCAUCAGCCUCAGCGUUAGGCAGCCUGGAAAUGAUCCUGCCUGAGAAACAGGCUAUGAGAAACAGGCAGAACAGCAACACCACUGCCACGGAAUAAACCAAGCAGCACAGAGCUUUGCUACCCAUCCUAAAUUAGGGACGGCUCUAGGAAAAUUAUCAUUCUCCUGCUGCUGCAGAGAAGCCACUCAUCGCUGCAGGAAAACCAGGGCAGCUCAAGCCUGGGUGCACAAAGGAACUGGGAGAAGGGGGGAUUGGAUACUGCCGGGCCUAACGAGCACUGAUGACAAUGGAAAAGGCAUUUGGUCUUCUCAACAGGUCCACGUGAAAUGUUCUGCCCGUGCUGAGCACUGAUAAACUCAGCCCACUGGCAACACCGCGUCGGGGCAUCCCCUCUCUGCCCACAUGCCACAGGGAGGUUGUGUUCUUCCACCUAACCCAGCCAGGGCCACAGCCUGAAACAGAAGCCAAAUUUACUAAAAGACUUCCAAGCUCAGGGUGGCUGGAGGUUUCUUUGCAACACCAAUGUUUAGUUUUGCACCCACGUUCUUAUCCUUCCUGGUAUUAUAAAAUGUUCUUCCGUUACUGGAGUGACCGACUGUGAUACAGCAGUGACUCACACGUCCACAUCCUUAUCCAGCUGUGUAACACUUCCAAGGAAAAUCCCAGUCCCACCGCUGUGCCACUGUGCAAAAUAAAAUUUUACAGACCCCGGUGGCACCAGAACAAGGUCCAAACUGCAACAACACGGUGAAAAUUGUAAUAGGGGCUGCAGUCAGCUCUGCUGCUGCCUCUUGGGAAACUGGCGAUACAAUUCCCAGAAAAAAAAUAAUACGUAAAUUCAUGCACAUAUCAAAAACACUCCUUAAAACCAGCAUUGCCCACAUCAAGGAGUGCCCAUUGCACAGCAUUUGUUUCCUCCUAGUGGACCAGGAUGUGAUUGCAGGGCUGGCCCCCGGCGUUUCAAA